rnacentral:ncRNA from 2 species
CCCGCUUGUAGCGUUGCCGGGUUGAUGAUCAAGAGGAAGCCGGUGAAAUUCCGGCACGGUCGCGCCGCUGUGUUCGCUUGCGAAAGUCAGCCCUUCUCUCAUCAGACAAACCUU